GGGAGACUGGGGAAGUUUUCUCUUUAUAUACUUGUUUUCAACGCCACAAAGUUCAGUCUGUCUGGUGUGAAGAUAAAGUACAGCAAUAACAAUGAUAAGAAACAAAAGACUUGAAGGAAAAGCUUGCUCAGCAGGAUUAUAUGUUGUCACUAGGCAGGCAAGACCUCCAUCGUCUGGGACCGAUCAGCAACUCCUCCAUCAUCCUCUGAGAUCAAAAGCAACUAACUCUGAGACCCCCAGAAACAGGAACUACCUUCCUGUGUGACUAGUUCCUGGGGGAGGGGUCUCUCUCUCAUUCAUGAAUGAGUCACUAUUCUCUUUGUAUAUGCUGAUCAGGUUCAGCCCUGAAGACUGCCAAAGGGCUGACCUGUGUUCCCUGUUCACUGUAUCAUUCAUUGUUCUAACAAAGUGAUUUUAGCUUUAUACAUUCAAACAUAACUAUCCGCUGCAAUGUCCUACAACUUAAUAACAAGUAUCAAAUUAAUCUACACACCAAUCUGCUUGUUUUAAAAGUAAACAUGACAGGUGUAUCUGGUUCCGUUCAAAUAAUACACA